rnacentral:pre_miRNA from 1 species
CACCAGCUGGCUGGCCUCCAGGCUGGGCGAGGAGAGUAUAUCUUAGAAAGGCUCACCUCCAAGCAUUACUAGGAGC